GAUGAACGCUAGCGACAGGUCUAACACAUGCAAGUCGAGGGGCAGCGCGGAGUAGCAAUACUUUGGCGGCGACCGGCGCACGGGUGAGUAACACGUAUGCAACCAACCCAUAACAGGGGGAUAACCCGGAGAAAUCCGGACUAAUACCCGCAUAAGACCACGAUAUCGCAUGAUAUAGAGGUCAAAUAUUUAUAGGUUAUGGACGGGCAUGCGUCUGAUUAGCUGGUUGGCGGGGUAACGGCCCACCAAGGCAUCGAUCAGUAGGGGUUCUGAGAGGAAGGUCCCCCACAUUGGAACUGAGACACGGUCCAAACUCCUACGGGAGGCAGCAGUGGGGAAUCUUGGGCAAUGGGCGAAAGCCUGACCCAGCGACACUGCGUGGGUGAUGAAGAUCUUUGGAUUGUAAAACCCUUUUCCUGAAGAUGAAAGGUAGGAUUGAGAAUAUCCUUCCUACCCUGACAGUAUUCAGGGAAUAAGCCCCAGCCAACUACGUG
rnacentral:rRNA from 1 species